GGGGUGCUGUGAAAUGUGAAAGUGGAGUAGAAGGAAAAAUAACAGUAGGCAACUACAAAGUGGGAAGAGAAUCCACAGGUCCACAACUUCAAUGUUCUUGUUGAGAUAGAAUCUACUCUUUUCACCUUUAUGUAUUUUUCUUACAUGGUGCUUAUGAACUACCAUUUUUAGGAAAAAGUAUUGCAUCAGUGCUUUCCUAUCCUUUGAGAAGUGGACCUUUUAUUCUUUAUCUUCAGUGAUGGGUCAUUUAUUGUGCUGAAAGAGAAUCUGGGACAAACACUAGAUGAGGGAGAGGCCCUGGACCAAAAGAGUAUGUUCCAACAAAAGGAUGACCACAGUGGAAAGCAGAAAGCAGAAAGCAGAAUUGAGCUUCAAUUAUAUUGCACCAGCUCACAAUGUCAUAUACCGCCACUGAGCAUCCAGAGGUUGUUGGAUGAUUCAGCAACAACCAUGAAGCUGCUUCAUCUUCAUACUCUUCAUCUAUAGUCGUAUCAUCUGCAUCUUGUGUCAAACUCAAGAACCCAUCAUCCUCCGUUCCUUCCCCCGUGGACCCACCAAUCAUCAUAGAAUCACUGCCAACAGUGUCAACAGCUGGAGGACCAUAAAGGGUUCCUGGAGAUUGGAAUCAGAGCCAAAUUUAGAAUUUAAGUUUGAUGAGUUCAAUUUUUAUGUUUUUUAUUAUUUAAAACAUUACACUUUUGAUAUUAUGGUUUAGAAGCCAUAUAUAUUGAAUUUUUUGUUAUUUUUCUCAUGUAGGAGUAUAUAUGGUCUGUGUGAAGAAAAAUGGUGGCUACCUGGAAUGGGAAUAAUUGGGAUACGGUGGUGACGAUGUGCCAAGGGGUUGGCAGAAUGGAUGUCAGCAUCGCAGGAGGCACAAAGUGAGGCAGCAUCCGCCUUGCAAAGAAAGGCUGCAGGGGCACACUCGCAGGCCUCACAAACCCACACACGCUUGUGACGAGAAGCCACCAGACUUGCUGCAUGUACGCGGGCGUCACAGCCUGCACACAAAUAGGCAGAAUCCGCCUGGCAGUAAAUGGUACAGGAGAAUCUAGGAAGAGGCCCUGGACCAAAAGCAGGUAUUGAUGAACAUUAUAUGUCAUCCAAAAAGAGUAUGUUCCAACAAUAAGAUGACCACAGGGGAAAGCAGAAAGCAGACAGCAGAACUCAGCUUCAAUUAUAUUGCACCAGCACACAAUGUCAUAUACAGCCAUUGAGCAUCGGGAGGUCGUCGGACUCUGGCUUCUCUGUCCAUUGGAGUAAGCUGGGGAGGUAUCUGAAUUGGAGGGCCUGAGAACAGAUCGAUGGUCCCUUUUGGAGGUCGUGGAUGAGAGUUUGAAGUUUCACUUAGUGCAGAUUCUGGAACAACACUGACAUCCAUCGACGAAAUGGAAACCUGAUGAUACAUAAAGACAACAAAAACAUGAGUGGUCAACUUCCCUAUUCAUGUAUCAC